rnacentral:rRNA from 1 species
UACGUAGGUGACAAGCGUUGUCCGGAUUUACUGGGCGUAAAGAGCGCGCAGGCGGUCGUUCAAGUCGAGUGUGAAAGCCCCCGGCUCAACUGGGGAGGGUCACUCGAUACUGAUCGACUCGAAGGCAGGAGAGGGAAGUGGAAUUCCCGGUGUAGUGGUGAAAUGCGUAGAUAUCAGGAAGAACACCAGUGGCGAAGGCGCUCUACUGGGCCGGUAACUGACACUGAGGGACGAAAGCUAGGGGAGCGAAAGGG